rnacentral:siRNA from 1 species
GUCAAUAUGUCCGAGUGGUUAA